CAAAAACAUCGCCUCUUGAUUUUUGUUGAAAAGGGGUCUGUCCUGCCCGGUGAGCAAUAGCUUUAACGGUCGCAGUUAAAACUGUGCUAAGGUAGCGCAAUCAAUCGUCCUUUAAUUGGGGAAAGGUAUGAAGGAUUGACGUGGAAAGUCUUUAUUAAGAGUAUAUAUUGAAUUUUACAUUUUGGUGCAAAGGCUAAGAUAAUAUUGUUAGACGAGAAGACCCUAUUGAGCUUGGUAUAAUUCUUAGGUAAGUUUACUUAUUUAAGGGUAGCAUGUUUUUUCGGGAAAGCUAGGGAGGAAAAACUAUGCCUCCCUUUUUAAUAUGCAGAUCCAGCAUGGCUGAUAAAAAGAAGAUAGUUACCAUAGGGAUAACAGCACAAUCGCCCCGACGAGGUCUUAUUUGAGGGGCGGUUUGUAACCUCGAUGUUGAAUUAAGAUUUCUUCUAGGUGCAGCAGCUUAGAAAGUGGGACUGUUCGUCCUUUAAAAUCU
rnacentral:rRNA from 1 species